CCUUCUUCUUUUCUCGAUUCUUGGUCCCUCACCAAUCUCGAAAAUCUUUGUAACUGGACUGGCAUUACUUGUAACUCUGCAGGUUCAGUCUCUGAGAUUAACCUCUGUGAGAAACAACUUGAUGGAAUGCUGUCCGACUUCGGUUUCACUUCAUUUCCAAAUCUCAAGAAUCUCACCCUGGCAGACAACUUCUUCUCGGGUCCAAUACCACCAGCCAUUGAGAAUUUAACACAGCUUCAAUAUCUUGAUUUAAGCAUGAAUAGUCUCAAUGGUCCCAUUCCGUUCCAGGUUAGCCAUCUUCAGAGGUUGCUCAUAUUAAACCUGUCACAGAAUGCAUUGCAAGCUCCAAAUUGGUCCCAUUUCUCUCCCAUGCCUGUUUUGCGCUUCCUCAAGCUCAGUAGAAAUCCUCUUGUGUCGAAAUUCCCAAAUUUUAUAUCCAAUUCUCAUAGCCUGACUUAUCUCAACCUUUCACAUAACAAGUUUAGUGGUGAUCUUGUACGUGAAUCAGUAUUUACCAAUCUGCAUCAUCUUGAAGUCCUCAGUCUCGUUGACAAUUCUUUUGAGGGGCCAUUUCCGCCAAAUAUAUUCAAGCUUUCCAAAUUAAAACGUCUUGCCCUGUCAGGUAACAAAUUUUCAGGUCCAAUUCCCAAUGACAUAAGGUUGCUAUGUGAUCUUGAAUCCCUAUAUUUAGGCAACAAUUCCUUUGAAGGACCGCUUCCACCAAAUAUAUUCAAGCUUUCAAAAUUAAAACAUCUUGUUCUUUGGAGUAAUAAGUUUUCAGGUUCUGUUUCCAAUGAUAUAGGUUUGCUUUCUGAGCUUGAAAGCCUCGAUCUUAACUCUAAUUUUUUUAAGGGGCCGCUUCCGCCAAAUGUAUUCAAGCUCUCCAAACUAAGGUUUCUUUACCUCUGGGGUAAUAACUUUUCAGGUUCUGUUUCCAAUGAUAUAGGUUUGCUUUCUGAGCUUGAAACCCUCGAUCUUGAGUCUAAUUAUUUUGAGGGGCCGCUUCCGCCAAAUUUAUUCAAGCUCUCCAAACUAAAUUUUCUUUCCCUUCAGGAGAAUAACUUUUCAGGUUUUAUUUCCAAGGAUAUAGGUUUGCUUUUUGAACUUGAAACCCUCUAUCUUGGCUCUAAUUUUUUUGAGGGGCCGCUUCCCCCACAUGUAUUUAGGCUCUCCAAAUUAAGAGAUUUGGACCUCUCAGACAAUAGAAAUUUAUUUGAAGGAAGUAUUCCUAUUGGACUGGGACUCUUGACUAACCUCAGGUACUUAGAUCUAUAUUCCACUAAUCUCAGCGGCUAUAUUCCAUCUGACAUUGGAAACCUGAAGCUACUAGAAGUUCUUGUUAUCAGUUAUAAUCAAUUGAGUGGACAGCUUUCAAAGAUCAUUUCUAAUCUCACAAAUCUUAUAAUGCUUGAUGUAAGUGAUAAUAGUCUUAGUGGAAAUAUUCAGAGUGACUUGUGGAUACAUCCAACUUUGGAAUUCAUCGCUAUGGGUGGGAACCAUUUUACGGGUAUAGUUUUUCUCUAUAGAUCUUUUCCUUUUGUCUUAUUUAACUAAGCUAGUAAUCUGGUUAUUGCAGUUUUACCAAAGUUUCAACAAUCUUGACAGGUGAACUUCCAAACUGUUUGGGGAAUCUUGCUGAUGGAUUGCGUGUCAUUAAUCUUGCUAGUAAUCAGUUUCGAGGAACAGUACCAACUACUUUCUCCAGGAGUUGUCAGCUGACAUAUCUAAACAUGGAUAAUAAUGAGUUUGAAGGAUUGUUGCCCCCAUCUUUGGCGAAUUGUGAGCACUUGAAAAUUCUUGAUAUUGGCAAUAAUGAAAUAGGUGGUACAUUUCCGUCAUGGCUUUAUGCACUUGGAGAUCUAGAAGUCCUUGUCUUGAAAUCAAAUAAACUCUAUGGUACAAUAAGUGGAAGGAGCAGUGAAGAUCCCUUCCCCAAGUUGCGGAUUGUGGAUCUGUCCAACAAUCAAUUCACUGGUCAUUUGCCAAUUCAAUACUUUAAGAAUAUGAAAUCAACUGAUAAUUUGUAUAGCUAUCAGCAUUCCACAGGAGUUUUUUCUUUCCUUUAUGAAGCAGCAGUGUCGUUAACUUUGAAGGGAACAGAGUAUGAAGUAGCAAAGAACCUUCAUAUUUACACAGCCAUUGAUCUGUCGUGCAAUAAAUUUCAGGGAGAAAUUCCAAAGGUUACUGGAGAGCUUAGAUGGCUUGCAUUGCUCAAUUUAUCGCAUAAUAGUCUGACAGGACCUAUCCCAUCGUUGCUGAGAAAUAUGAAAGAACUCCAAUCUUUAGAUUUGUCCUCAAAUCAACUGACAGGGGUCAUUCCACCUCAGUUAACUGCAUUGACAUUUCUAGAGGUCUUAAACUUCUCGAAAAACCAUCUCAGUGGAGAGAUUCCUCAGAAAGGACAGUUCAGCACAUUCAAUAAUGAUUCUUAUCUUGGAAACUCUGCGUUAUGUGGAUCACCUUUGACGAAGAAAUGUGUAAACACUGUAUCACCUCCACAGGAAGUCGGAAAUGGUGAUGAAGAUGAUGCGGGUGAUGAAUUGACAUGGGAAGCAAUCGUGAUGGGAUAUGGAUGUGGACUGAUAUGUGGAUUGUCAUCUGCGUACAUUGUUCUCAAACUAGGAAGGCCUUGGUGGUUUGUGAGAUAUAUCGAAGUACUGCAACUGAAGUUGAUGAAAAGAUAUGCAUGAAGAAAGGUACUGGUCGAUCAAGACGAAUUUGAAAGUUGUUGUCCUUGUGGACAUUUCUGAACCUGUAGUGUACUAGCUGCAUAAGUAUUUGGUAUUAUGUAAUAAUCCGUUUGGUCGGGACUCAUAAUGAUUUCUCUUGCUUCAGGGGUAUUUAUAUUAACCUUGGUAUUGUGUCCUAGCUGUAAUAUACUGUUUGGUCGGGACUCAUAAUCAUAUUUCUUGCUGGGUAUUAAUAUUAACCUUGUUAUCUUGAUCUAUGUUAAUGCAAAUUAAAGUGAAUGAAAAAACAAAAAAAUAUGCAUCAAAUCCGCUGUUUGAAACAAUUCAAUAAUAAACUCGAGUUUUCCAGGACCAAAUCCACAUAUUCAAUAUCACACUCUUCCUGUGAGGAAACAAAUAUGGAGAAACAUUUCUGUUUACAAAACUUUUACCAUUAUACACUCUUAUAGUACUGGUUAAGAGUUCCUAAACUAAAAUUAUCAGUUCUAUGUGAGUAUGCUUUCAAAUAAGAAUUCGUUGUUCCGCCUAGUCCAAAACUACUCUAAAACUAUAUCGCUGGUAGUCUUUCAGUUCAUCCUACUGUAUGCAAUAGUUUCAUACAUAGGUAACUCGGCCUUGUGUGGACUUCCUUUGACAAAAAAGGGUUAAUAGGCUAAAACAUAAUCGAACUGACCCAAAACUUGCAACAAAUAGGAAGGCCUUGGUGGUUUGUGAGAUACAUCGAAGUGCUGCAACUUAAGUUGAUGUUAUGAAGAACUAAAAAUAUUGUUCCGUCAAGACCAACAACUUGAAAAUGUGUUCUGAAUCUGUAAUAAUAUUAAAAUAUUAUAAUAUAAUUCAUUUAACACUAUCAUCCGAUCAAUUUAAUUUAUUAUCAUUUAGUCAAUAUAUAUAGAUGGAUAUGAAUUGUCUUCCCUCGAACUUUGAGUUGUCAUAGUCCUUAAACAUAUUAAACACUUUGAAAAUUUGUUUCUGCAAGUCUAAAUUGUAGACAACACUUUCAAAGUUAGUUGCCGAAUAGACUCAUUUUGAAAAAAUUGGUUAGAUUCCGGAUAAAUUCAUUAAUCAGAAUUAAAUAUUUCAUGACCCUAACUCAAUCUGUUGUAAAUUGAUGUUGAGUUCAGGUAACACUGGCAGGUAUAAGGCAUAUAAAUAGCAGUCUCAUUAAUUGUGAAGGGAACAGAGUAUGAAGUAAGAAAUAACCUUCAUAUUUACACAGCCAUUGAUCUGUCGUGCAACAAAUGUCUGGGAGAAAUUCCAAAGGUUACUGGAGAGAGCUUAGAUGGCUUGCGAUUGCUCAAUUUAUCUCAUAAUAGUCUUUUUUUGAAAAAAGAAAAUAAUUCAAUAAUGAAAAAUCAUACUAAAUCCACAGAUAUAAUCGAAAUUGAACAAACGCAGAAUCAUAUCACCAUUGAAUCCUUCAGAGACGGCGGCUACUUCAAGGUGAGAGAAAUUUAGGGUUUUGCUUCUUAUCUCUAAAAUAGUUAAUUGAAGAGUCAUCUCAUAAUAGUCUUUGAAGUAUUACUAGGGAAAAUAUAUCUUCAUAAUGAAAAAUAAUUAUCAUUUUAAAAAAAAUUCACGAUAGAGGGGCCAUUUGGAUGAGUUUAAAUAAGUGCUUUUGGUAAAAUUUAAGUUCUUUAAUUUCCAAUUGUUUUAGAAGUUUAAUUAGUAAUUAAUAACAUGUGUACGGUUGGAGUUUUUUUGAGUCUAGCGGUGAUAGUUGUUUGAAAAACUGAUAUACAAGUCUAACAAAGUUUAAGUUAAAUAACUUUAAUUCAUAACUAUUUUGUUACCAAUCUACCAUUUCUUGUGUUUGGGUCUUUUUAAUAUAUGUUGCUACUUUAUGGGUAAUAUCUUUAUCUUCGAAGGAGUUUGUGUUUGUCACUUUGUCAUAACAAUGUCACUACCAUCUCUUUCAUUUUGUAAAAAUCUUAUAUAUAGUGAAUGAUAGCUUGAACUCCUUAUUUAUUUCAAUUAUGAAACAUGAUAUAGAUUUUAUAGAGUUAUUUUACAAAUUAAAUUGUUUGACUUCUUAGUAAAGGAUGUCAAUAAUGUUCAACCUAGUACGUAAUAUGUGUAAUCCGAAAUGAUAUUGUUGUCUGUUCUUUCUACUUUAUGGAUUAUAUCGCUGAUACCAGUAAUUUUAUGCUUCACUGCAUGAUGCAGCUCUCAUGUUAUUAACAGCUAAACUCGUGCCAACACUUUGCGAUGCAAAAUAGUGGCACAAAAGUAUUUUCAUAUGUGUAUUUAUUCGGAAAAUACGUGUAUUUAUUCGGAUAUUAAAGUUAGUAUGGACAUUUGUGUUGAUAAUUUGAGCCCUCUUCUCUUCCAAGUCUUGGGCGGACUCUUUCCAAGUCUCCUGAGGACCCAUAGGCUCAAAUUAGUCCAUUAAAAUUUAUGAUCUGAAAGCUCUCUGCGCACUAAUUUCUCCGCCAAACGAAAAAUCAACAUUUCAUGUACUAACUAUUUCCAUAAUAAUUAACAAGUAUAAAUCAUAUAUAUUUUUCCAUAGAACAUAAAUAGAUGGGGUACUAACAAAACCUCUAGUCAAAUUAAUUAAUACCGUUAUGAUUUCGCAAACACAGCAGACAGCAGGCGUAAGGCUAGCUUAUAAAUAGAAGUGUAGUAUUGGGUUGAUGGUCAAGUUGAGUGGAAGUAUGGCACACUUUGUAAAGCCUUGUUAUCCUCUUCUCUUUGUUUUCUUUCUCUCAUUACUUCAAUCCAUUCUAACAACACAAGAGGGAGAAGCUCUUUUGAAAUGGAAGAAUAGCCUAGCCCCUUCUUCUUUUCUCGACUCUUGGUCCCUCACCAAUCUCGAUAAUCUUUGUAACUGGACUGGCAUUACCUGUAACUCUGCAGGUUCAGUCUCUAAGAUUAACCUUUUUGAGAAACAACUUGAUGGAAUGUUGUCCGAGUUUGGUUACACUUCAUUUCCAAAUCUCAACAAUCUCACCCUCGCAUACAACUUCUUCUCGGGUCCAAUACCACCAGCCAUUGAG
rnacentral:lncRNA from 1 species